AAACUUGACCUCAAAUCAGGUAGGACUACCCGCUGAACUUAAGCAUAUCAAUAAGCGGAGGAAAAGAAACUAACAAGGAUUCCCCUAGUAACUGCGAGUGAAGCGGGAAGAGCUCAAAUUUUGAAUCUGGCAGUCCUUGGCUGUCCG
rnacentral:rRNA from 1 species